rnacentral:rRNA from 1 species
AUUGAACGCUGGCGGCAGGCUUAACACAUGCAAGUCGAGCGGGGGAAGGUAGCUUGCUACUGGACCUAGCGGCGGACGGGUGAGUAAUGCUUAGGAAUCUGCCUAUUAGUGGGGGACAACAUCUCGAAAGGGAUGCUAAUACCGCAUACGUCCUACGGGAGAAAGCAGGGGAUCUUCGGACCUUGCGCUAAUAGAUGAGCCUAAGUCGGAUUAGCUAGUCGGUGGGGUAAAGGCCUACCAAGGCGACGAUCUGUAGCGGGUCUGAGAGGAUGACCCGCCACACUGGGACUGAGACACGGCCCAGACUCCUACGGGAGGCAGCAGUGGGGAAUAUUGGACAAUGGGGGGAACCCUGAUCCAGCCAUGCCGCGUGUGUGAAGAAGGCCUUAUGGUUGUAAAGCACUUUAAGCGAGGAGGAGGCUACUUUAGCUAAUACCUAGAGAUAGUGGACGUUACUCGCAGAAUAAGCACCGGCUAACUCUGUGCCAGCAGCCGCAGUAA